GCAGCUCCGCCCCGCGUCCGACCCGCGGAUCCCGCGGCGUCCGGCCCGGGUGGUCUGGAUCGCGGAGGGAAUGCCCCGGAGGGCGGAGAACUGGGACGAGGCCGAGGUAGGCGCGGAGGAGGCAGGCGUCGAAGAGUACGGCCCUGAAGAAGACGGCGGGGAGGAGUCGGGCGCCGAGGAGUCCGGCCCGGAAGAGUCCGGCCCGGAGGAACUGGGCGCCGAGGAGGAGAUGGAGGCCGGGCGGCCGCGGCCCGUGCUGCGCUCGGUGAACUCGCGCGAGCCCUCCCAGGUCAUCUUCUGCAAUCGCAGUCCGCGCGUCGUGCUGCCCGUAUGGCUCAACUUCGACGGCGAGCCGCAGCCCUACCCAACGCUGCCGCCUGGCACGGGCCGCCGCAUCCACAGCUACCGAGUCCUCAUGACUCCAGUGGGCCAGUUCUGCGUAGUCCCUGCCCUCGUGGAGAACACAUUCCUCCUGGGGAGACUGACAGAUGCAAAGACAGGAACAAGCCAGGGUCAUGUUGGCGCCGGAAGAGCCGACCGUGUGUGGCGUGGGAAAUUGACUUACCUGCCUGCUGGGAGAUGGAGGGGUUGCGGUUGUGUGGUUUCAGUUAAGGAGCACUUCCCGGAGAAGGAAGAGAGCAGGAUGGAGUAGGAACUAGCCAACCCUAGGUCACCUUUGGCUCUUCAGAGAUGCAGGGACACACGAUGGGCUUCUGGUUAACCAAACUGAAUUAUUUGUGCCAUCUCUCAAUGUUGACGGACAGCCUAUUUUUGCCAAUAUCACACUGCCAGUGUAUACUCUGAAAGAGCGAUGCCUCCAGGUUGUCCGGAGCCUAGUCAAGCCUGAGAAUUACAGGAGACUGGACAUCGUCAGGUCGCUCUACGAAGAUCUGGAAGACCACCCAAAUGUGCAGAAAGACCUGGAGCGGCUGACACAGGAGCGCAUUGCACAUCAACGGAUGGGAGAUUGAAGAUUUCUGUUGAAACUUACACUGUUUCAUCUCAGCUUUUGAUGGUACUGAUGAGUCUUGAUCUAGAUACAGGACUGGUUCCUUCCUUAGUUUCAAAGUGUCUCAUUCUCAGAGUAAAAUAGGCACCAUUGCUUAAAAGAAAGUUAACUGACUUCACUAGGCAUUGUGAUGUUUAGGGGCAAACAUCACAAAAUGUAAUUUAAUGCCUGCCCAUUAGAGAAGUAUUUAUCAGGAGAAGGUGGUGGCAUUUUUGCUUCCUAGUAAGUCAGGACAGCUUGUAUGUAAGGAGGUUUGUAUAAGUAAUUCAGUGGGAAUUGCAGCAUAUCGUUUAAUUUUAAGAAGGCAUUGGCAUCUGCUUUUAAUGGAUGUAUAAUACAUCCAUUCUACAUCCGUAGCGGUUGGUGACUUGUCUGCCUCCUGCUUUGGGAAGACUGAGGCAUCCGUGAGGCAGGGACAAGUCUUUCUCCUCUUUGAGACCCCAGUGCCUGCACAUCAUGAGCCUUCAGUCAGGGUUUGUCAGAGGAACAAACCAGGGGACACUUUGUUAGAAAGUGCUUAGAGGUUCUGCCUCUAUUUUUGUUGGGGGGUGGGAGAGGGGACCUUAAAAUGUGUACAGUGAACAAAUGUCUUAAAGGGAAUCAUUUUUGUAGGAAGCAUUUUUUAUAAUUUUCUAAGUCGUGCACUUUCUCGGUCCACUCUUGUUGAAGUGCUGUUUUAUUACUGUUUCUAAACUAGGAUUGACAUUCUACAGUUGUGAUAAUAGCAUUUUUGUAACUUGCCAUCCGCACAGAAAAUACGAGAAAAUCUGCAUGUUUGAUUAUAGUAUUAAUGGACAAAUAAGUUUUUGCUAAAUGUGAGUAUUUCUGUUCCUUUUUGUAAAUAUGUGACAUUCCUGAUUGAUUUGGGUUUUUUUGUUGUUGUUGUUUUGUUUUGUUUUGUUUUUUUGAGAUGGAGUCUCACUCUUGUCACCCAGGCUGGAGUGCAGUGGCGCCAUCUCGGCUCACUGCAACCUCUGCCUCCUGGGUUCACGUAAUCCUCCUGAGUAGCUGGGAUUACAGGCGCCUGCCACCACGCUGGCCAAUUUUUGUACUUUUAGUAGAGACAGUGUUUCGUCAUGUUGGCCAGGCUGGUUUCAAACUCCUGACCUCAGGUGAUCCGCCCACCUCAGCCUCCCAAAAUGGUGGGAUUACAGGUGUGUGGGCCACCGUGCCUGGCUGAUUCAGCAUUUUUUAUCAGGCAGGACCAGGUGGCACUUCCACCUCCAGCCUCUGGUCCUACCAAUGGAUUCAUGGAGUAGCCUGGACUGUUUCAUAGUUUUCUAAAUGUACAAAUUCUUAUAGGCUAGACUUAGAUUCAUUAACUCAAAUUCAAUGCUUCUAUCAGACUCAGUUUUUUGUAACUAAUAGAUUUUUUUUUCCACUUUUGUUCUACUCCUUCCCUAAUAGCUUUUUAAAAAAAUCUCCCCAGUAGAGAAACAUUUGGAAAAGACAGAAAACUAAAAAGGAAGAAAAAAGAUCCCUAUUAGAUACACUUCUUAAAUACAAUCACAUUAACAUUUUGAGCUAUUUCCUUCCAGCCUUUUUAGGGCAGAUUUUGGUUGGUUUUUACAUAGUUGAGAUUGUACUGUUCAUACAGUUUUAUACCCUUUUUCAUUUAACUUUAUAACUUAAAUAUUGCUCUAUGUUAGUAUAAGCUUUUCACAAACAUUAGUAUAGUCUCCCUUUUAUAAUUAAUGUUUGUGGGUAUUUCUUGGCAUGCAUCUUUAAUUCCUUAUCCUAGCCUUUGGGCACAAUUCCUGUGCUCAAAAAUGAGAGUGACGGCUGGCAUGGUGGCUCCCGCCUGUAAUCCCAGUACUUUGGAAAGCCAAGGUAAGAGGAUUGCUUGAGCCCAGAACUUCAAGAUGAGCCUGGGCUCAUAGUGAGAACCCAUCUAUACAAAAAAUUUUUAAAAAUUAGCAUGGCGGCACACAUCUGUAAUCCUAGCUACUUGGCAGGCUGAGGUGAGAAGAUCAUUGGAGUUUAGGAAUUGGAGGCUGCAGUGAGCCAUGAGUAUGCCACUGCACUCCAGCCUGGGGGACAGAGCAAGACCCUGCCUCAAAAAAAAAAAAAAAAAAAAAAUCAGGCCGGGCAUGGUGGCUCACGCCUGUAAUCCCAGCACUUUGGGAGGUCGAGGUGGGCAGAUCACCUGAGGUCAGGAGUUCGAGACCAGCCUGGCCAACAUGGUAAAACCCCAUUUCUACUAAAAAAUACAAGAAUUAGCUGGGUGUGGUGGCGCAUGCCUGUAAUCCUAGCUACUCAGGAGGCUGAGGCAGGAGAAUCACUUGAACCCAGGAGGCGAAGAUUGCAGUGAGCUGAUAUCGCACCAUUGUACUCCAGCCUGUGUGACAGAGCAAUACUCUUGUCUCAAAAAAAAAAAAAAAUUCAAAUCAGAGUGAAGUGAAUGAGACACUCCAGUUUUCCUUCUACUCCGAAUUUCAACUGAUUUUAGCUCCUCCUUUCAACAUUCAACAAAUAGUCUUUUUUUUUUUUUUUUUUUUUUUUUUUUUGAGAUGGAGUCUCACUCUGUUGCCCAGGCUGGAGUGCAGUGGUGCGAUCUCUGCUCACUACAAGCUCUGCCUCCCGAGUUCAAGUGAUUCUCCUGGCUCACCCUCCUGAGUAGCUGGGAUUACAGGCGCCUGCCACCAUGCCUGGCUAAUUUUGUGUUUUUAGUGGAGACGGGGUUUCACCAUGUUGUCCAGGAUGGUCUUGAUCUCCUGACCUUGUGAUCCACCCACCUCAGCCUCCCAAAGUGCUGGGAUUACAGGUGUGAGCCACCGCGUCCAGCCAGCUUUAUUAUUUUUUUUAAGCUGUCUUUGUGUCAAAAUGAUAGUUCAUGCUCCUCUUGUUAAAACCUGCAGGCCGAGCACAGUGGCUCAUGCCUGUAAUCCCAGCAUUUUGGGAGACCAAGGCGGAUGGAUCACCUGAGGUCAGGAGCUGAAGACCAGCCUGGCUAACAUGGUGAAACCUCAUCUCCACUUAAAAUACAAAAAUUGCCGGCCGCGGCGGCUCAUGCCUGUAAUCCCAGCACUUUGGGAGGCCUAGGCGGGUGGAUCACGAGGUCAGGAAAUCGAGACCAUCCUGGCUAACACGGGUGAAACCCCGUCUCUAUUAAAAAAUAGAAAAAAUUAGGCGGGCGUGGUGGUGAGCGCCUGUAGUCCCAGCUACUCGAGAGCCUGAGGCAGGAGAAUGGCAUGAACCUGGAAGGCGGAGCUUGCAGUGAGCUGAGAUGGUGCCACUGCACUCUAACCUGGGCGACAGAGUGAGACACCGUCUCAAAAAAAAAAACAAAAAACAAAAAUUAUCCAGGUGUGGCGGUGGGCGCCUGUGAGGCAGGCGAAUCUCUUGAACCCGGGAGGCGGAGGUUGCAGUGAGCCAAGAUCACACCAUUGCACUCCAGCCUGGGCAACAAGAGUGAAAUUCCAUCUCAAAAAGAAACCAAAAAAACAAAAAAAAAACAUGCCGUUUGAGUACUGUGUUUUUGGUGUUGUCCAAGGAAAAUUAAAAACCUGUAGCAUGAAUAAUGUUUGUUUUUCAUUUCGAAUCUUGUGAAUGUAUUAAAUAUAUCGCUCUUAAGAGACGGUGAAGUUCCUAUUUCAAGUUUUUUUUUUUUUUUUUUUUUUUAAAGCUGUUUUUUAAUACAUUAAAUGGUGCUGAGUAAAGGAAA